ensembl:lncRNA
AUGGGCAAAUGUUUGUUUAAUGACAAGUGGUUGGAGGACGAAAAGUAUCGGGGGUGGCUGAAGAAAACAGCCAGUAAUCAUGAAGCGAGGUGUGCUUUAUGUAAAAAGACGAUAAAGCUGGGGACAAUGGGCCACAUAGCGCUCGAUUCACACAUGAAAGCAGAGAAGCACAAGAAGUGUGUGUCGUCGCAAGCAAGUAGUUUGCCCAUAAGUAUGUUCUCAUCGAGCACUUCGACCUCUCAGCCUUCCACUUCAAGCAAUGCCUUCGGCAGCUUUGCGAAUGUAGCUACACUUAAGGCCGAAAUACUGUGGGUAUUUCAAACCGUAAGCCGCCACAACUCGUACACCUCAAAUGAGGACAUCCACCUAGUUUUUCAAGCAAUGUUCCCUGACUCAGAGUGUGCGAGUACGUUCACAUGUGGAAGGGAUAAAACCGCAUAUUUAGCACGAUUUGGUGUUGCCCCAUACAUAAAGAAGGAACUCAUUUCACGGGCAAACAAGGAUGCUUUCAUCAUAAUGUUCGAUGAGUCCAUGAACACAACAACGAAAACUAAACAGUUGGACUUGCACGUCAGAUGUUGGUCAACUGACGAGACCGGGACCCCGAUUGUCAGGUCUCGCUAUCUGGGUUCUCAGUUUUUGGGCCACUCAACGGCAGAAGACUUGCUGGAACAUUUUAAGGAGGGCACCAAGGAACUUAAUUUACGGAACUUGCUUUCUGUAUCAAUGGAUGGACCUGCAGUCAAUUGGAAAUUCAUGGAUCUCCUACAAUUGGAACAUGGAGAACAGUUUGGGGGGAUUCAACUCCAAGUGGUAGGAAGCUGUGGUAUCCACACCCUACACAAUUCAUUUAAAGGUGGAUUUGAGGUGUGGCAUGUAGAAAAGGUGCUGAGAUCUCUCCACUGUCUCUUCAAUAAUGCCCCAGCAAGAAGAGAGGAUUUCACAUCUGCAACACUGUCGUCCACAUUCCCCUUAUCCUUCUGUGGCCAUCGCUGGCUCGAAAAUGUGCCUGCUGCAGAGAGGGCCAUUGAAAUUUGGCCCUCUAUUGAGAAGUUUGUUGACCAAGUGUCAACAAAGAAGGUGAAGAACCCAGGAAAUGCAUCAUUCGACACCCUCUCUGAGGCAAGAAAGGAUCCUCUUAUCUGUGCCAAACUCCACUUCUUUGUGUUCAUAGCAAGAGUCUUUCAACCAUUUCUGGAAAAAUAUCAAAAAGAUGCUCCCAUGAUGCCCUUCCUGUGGAAUGACUUGGAGGAUUUGAUAAGGAGCCUUCUCAAACGAUUCAUCAAGCGUGAUGCUUUGCCCUCGAGUCCAUAUAAGCUGGUGAGGCUCGAUGUCACAGACCAGAAGCUUUGGCUUGGCACAAAAGAUGUUGACAUUGGCAUGGGUGCAGCAGCUGUUAUCAAGGGACUGUCAGGGGCCAAGGGCAGAGUAAGCGAGCUUGGUGUGCUGCAGUUUAAAAAAGAAUGCCAGAAUGCACUUUCAAAAAUAUGCAAGAAGGCACUGGAUAAGUGCCCUCUAAAAUAUGCCACUGUCCAUAACAUGAUGUGCCUGGAGUCCUGGACCCAAGAAAAAUGUAUUCCAGCCCUGACGAAUGCCUACAGAAACUGA